AUUGAACGCUGGCGGCAGGCCUAACACAUGCAAUUCGAGCGGACCGCCGGCCGGGGGAGAAAUCCCAAGGAAGUUGCCUGGAGGUGGGGGAAACCGUCCGGAAACGGGCGCUAAUACCGCAUACAAUCAGAGGAGCUUAGGUCGGAUUAGCGAGUUGGUGGGGUAAAGGCCUACCAAGGCGACGAUCCGUAACUGGUCUGAGAGGAUGAUCAGUCACACUGGAACUGAGACACGGUCCAGACUCCUACGGGAGGCAGCAGUGGGGAAUAUUGGACAAUGGGCGAAAGCCUGAUCCAGCCAUGCCGCGUGUGUGAAGAAGGUCUUCGGAUUGUAAAGCACUUUAAGUUGGGAGGCGUUACCAACAGAAUAAGCACCGGCUCACUUCGGGCCAGCAGCCGCGGUAAUAC
rnacentral:rRNA from 1 species